rnacentral:rRNA from 1 species
CCUACGGGAGGCAGCAGUGGGGAAUAUUGCACAAUGGCGGAAACCCUGAUGCAGCGACGCCGCGUGAGCGAAGAAGGAUCUAGGUAUGUAAAGCUCUAUCAGCCAAGGAGCAAAUGACGGUACCUGACUAAGACGCCCCGGCCAACUACGGACCAGCUGCCGCGGUAAUACGUAGGGGGCAAGCGUGAUCCGGAUUUACUGGGUGUAAAGGGGGUGCAGGCGGCGCGGUAAGUCGGAGGUUAAACCCGUGGGCUCAAACCCGGGACUGCCUGUGAAACUGUCGGGCUGGAGUGUCGGAGGGGCAAGCGGAAUGCGUAGUGUAGCGGUGAAAUGCGUAGAUAUUAGGAGGAACACCAGUGGCGAAGGCGGCAUGCUGGACGACAACUGACGCUGAGGCUCGAAAGCGUGGGGAGCAAACAGGAUUAGAUACCCCAGUAGUC